CAUGCGCAGAGGGCGGCGGGUCAGCAGGUCAUGGGGUGGGGCCGUGUUGGCUCCGCCCCUCUCGCGGGGCGUGGCCACGACACACGAGCAGCCAAUAACAGCGCUCUCCAAGUACACGUUCCGCCAAUGGCGAUAUUCUUCGUCUAACAAGAGCACAUGGCAAAAAUAAUGCAUUUCACAACAAAAGAUAUGAAGAUUACGGGCGCACCGAUGCUAGUGCGUCCCCCCGCCCUUGUAGCUUAGCAGGCUCCUUCGGAACAGCGUUGGACGCGGGGGCCACGGCCUGCGGGGACCCCGGAACCCUCUUGAGCGGCCAGCGAGCUCUCAGUUCCUGGCUGCGACUUCCUGCAGCCGCCUCGCUACAAAGCUGCACACCUGCAUCCAAAGGCGCAGACAAUGAGUCCCGUUGGAUGAAACAUGGCUUUCCGCCGAAACGGAACUCUGUCGAGGCCUACACGUCCUGCCGGGCCAAUUACGUCGCGAACGGUCAGUAUGUCGGCCAGUCGUGGCGUUCGGAUGCGGGGCGGCUGCAGCAGCCACGUCCUCUCGCCUUCUGCUGGGCCGUCGGCGUUCUUUCCGAGUCUCAAGACCUUCGGUAAGAUUUCAUGGCAACAUCUUACGACACUCUACAAAUGGUCACGUACUUAAACGCCUCACGUACCCACGCUUACUUUCUUCACGUUGAUGGCAACGCCACUUGUGAUUACAGCUCACGUGCACACUACUGCACUUCUCACGUACACGAAGGUCACUUGCGUGCACACACACACACAUGUUAUCACGUACACACAGAAAGAACUGUACAAGGCAAUUAAAAAUAAAACCUCUCCUACA